rnacentral:rRNA from 1 species
GACGAACGCUGGCGGCGUGCUUAACACACGCAAGUCGAGCGGUAAGGCCCUUCGGGGUACACGAGUGGCGAACGGGUGAGUAACACGUGGGUGAUCUGCCCUGCACUUCGGGAUAAGCCUGGGAAACUGGGUCUAAUACCGGAUAGGACCACUGCCUGCAUGGGUGGUGGUGGAAAGCUUUUGCGGUGUGGGAUGGGCCCGCGGCCCAUCAGCUUGUUGGUGGGGUGAUGGCCUACCAAGGCGACGACGGGUAGCCGGCCUGAGAGGGUGGCCGGCCACACUGGGACUGAGAUACGGCCCAGACUCCUACGGGAGGCAGCAGUGGGGAAUAUUGCACAAUGGGCGCAAGCCUGAUGCAGCGACGCCGCGUGAGGGAUGACGGCCUUCGGGUUGUAAACCUCUUUCGGCACCGACGAAGCGCAAGUGACGGUAGGUGCAGAAGAAGGACCGGCCAACUACGUGCCAGCCGCCGCCGUAA